rnacentral:lncRNA from 1 species
CCGAGAGAUCCAGAUUUUGAUUUUAUUUUCUUGUGCCAACUACUACCAAGAGUGAGAUAGCUUGUGGAAGAUAAACUAGGAGGUUGAUUGUUUGUAGUUUCUAAAAUGGUUUUUGAUUUUUGGUUUUCUAAAAAUUACUUUUUUGCCAAUCAAGAUUUUUGAAAAAUAGAUUUCCUAAAUUUUAGAGAAACUAGAUUUUGAAAUAACUACCUAAUUUUUAGCAAAAACUAAAAACUACAUUUUCUUGGAUUCCUUGAGCAAUGUACGUGAUUUGUUUUCUUUUUUUUUUCUUUUUGCUGAAUUAUUAGUAUAUCUAUAUCCAUGCAUUAAUAUAGUAUAAACAACAAAAAUACAUUAGUGAUAACUAUUCCAAAAAAUAGUAAGAAUCACUAAGAAAAAAUAAACAAAAUUUUU